UGGGGAAUAUUGCACAAUGGGCGCAAGCCUGAUGCAGCCAUGCCGCGUGUGUGAAGAAGGCCUUCGGGUUGUAAAGCACUUUCAGCGGGGAGGAAGGCGGUGAGGUUAAUAACCUCAUCGAUUGACGUUACUCGCAGAAGAAGCACCGGCUAACGCCGUGCCAGCAGCCGCGGUAAUACGGAGGGUGCAAGCGUUAAUCGGAAUUACUGGGCGUAAAGCGCACGCAGGCGGUUGAUUGAGUCAGAUGUGAAAUCCACGGGCUUAACCCAGGAAUUGCAUCUGAUACUGGCCCGCUAGAGACUUGUAGAGGGGGGUAGAAUUCCAUGUGUAGCGGUGAAUUGCGUAGAGAUGUGGAGGAAUACCGGUCGCGAAGGCGGCCCCCUGGCCAAAGACUGACGCUCAGGUGCGAAAGCGUGGGGAGCAAACAGG
rnacentral:rRNA from 1 species